AUUGAACGCUGGCGGCAGGCCUAACACAUGCAAGUCGAACGGAGUGGCGGACGGGUGAGUAAUGUCUGGGAAACUGCCUGGUAGUGGGGGAUAACGUCCGGAAACGGGCGCUAAUACCGCAUACUAUUAGAUGAGCCUAGGUGUGAUUGGCUAGUUGGUGGGGUAAAGGCCUACCAAGGCGACGAUCCGUAACUGGUCUGAGAGGAUGAUCAGUCACACUGGAACUGAGACACGGUCCAGACUCCUACGGGAGGCAGCAGUGGGGAAUAUUGGACAAUGGGCGAAAGCCUGAUGCAGCCAUGCCGCGUGUGUGAGGAAGGUCUUCGGAUUGUAAAUCACUUUUAGUUGGGAAGCGUUACCUACUCAGUAAGCCCCGGCUAACUUCGUGCCAGCAGCCGCGGUAAUUC
rnacentral:rRNA from 1 species